rnacentral:lncRNA from 1 species
GCCAAAGCACUGGUGAGCACAGUGUGGACAGAUGCUGGGAAGAGGCACCUCCCAGAGCUCUGAGCUGCCCUCCCAGGCUUCCCGGGAUAGGGGGCAGAGACCCCAGGAGACAGUCAGAGCCUAGAAAACUGCACCAGGGACUCUUUCUCAGGACCGGGCACCCACAGUGACUCAACAAUGCUGUCCACGGCCAGACAGUGCCUUCUGAAAUGCUGCUGUCCCGGGACCCUCACAGCCCAAGCUCACAUGGGAUGAAAAUGCCUAACCUAACUCCUACCUGGGAUGGUCAG